rnacentral:rRNA from 1 species
GUUAUCGUUUAUUUGAUAGUACCUUACUACUUGGAUAACCGUGGUAAUUCUAGAGCUAAUACAUGCUAAAAACCCCGACUUCGGAAGGGGUGUAUUUAUUAGAUAAAAAACCAAUGCCCUUCGGGGCUCCUUGGUGAUUCAUAAUAACUUAACGAAUCGCAUGGCCUUGUGCCGGCGAUGGUUCACUCAAAUUUCUGCCCUAUCAACUUUCGAUGGUAUGGUCUUGGCUUACCAUGGUUUCAACGGGUAACGGGGAAUUAGGGUUCUAUUCCGGAGAGGGAGCCUGAGAAACGGCUACCACAUCCAAGGAAGGCAGCAGGCGCGCAAAUUACCCAAUCCCGACACGGGGAGGUAGUGACAAUAAAUACUGAUACAGGGCUCUUUUGGGUCUUGUAAUUGGAAUGAGUACAAUUUAAAUCCCUUAACGAGGAACAAUUGGAGGGCAAGUCUGGUGCCAGCAGCCGCGGUAAUUCCAGCUCCAAUAGCGUAUAUUAAAGUUGUUGCAGUUAAAAAGCUCGUAGUUGAACCUUGG